rnacentral:rRNA from 1 species
UAGGGAAUCUUCGGCAAUGGGGGGAACCCUGACCGAGCAACGCCGCGUGAGUGAAGAAGGUUUUCGGAUCGUAAAGCUCUGUUGUUAAGGAAGAACGAGUGUGAGAAUGGAAAGUUCAUACUGUGACGGUACUUAACCAGAAAGGGACGGCUAAUUACGUGCCAGCAGCCGCGGUAAUACGUAAGGUCCGAGCGUUGUCCGGAAUCAUUGGGCGUAAAGGGUACGUAGGCGGGUAAGCAAGUUAGAAGUGAAAUCCUGUAGCUCAACUGCAGUAAGCUUUUAAAACUGCUCAUCUUGAGAUAUGGAAGGGAAAGUGGAAUUCCUAGUGUAACGGUGAAAUGCGCAGAUAUUAGGAGGAAUACCGGUGGCGAAGGCGACUUUCUGGCCAUAAUCUGACGCUGAGGUACGAAAGCGUGGGUAGCAAACAGG